UUGAGUGGCAGCAGAUGAGAUGCCAGAGGAUUCUGGAGCAUUUUCCUGUUCUAAUCGCCGGACCACCGAAAAUAGGGCUUUUCACAAACAUGUUGCUCACUAAUGUAGUAGCUCGGUGGCCUGGGUCAACCCAUGACUCAUUCAUUUUAAGACACAGCAGUGAUGGGCGCAGACUCGAGGCUGGUGCUGUGCGUGAUGGCUGGCUUCUAGGGGACAGUGGAUAUCCUGAUGCUGCUGCUGUGCGCCAGCGAUUGGAAGUGAUGUGUCGGUUGUAAAGAACAACAAAAGGACUGCAUCGGUGAGGACACGUCCGCUGCUGGAGGGUUGAGAGCCGCGUGCCGUGGAGACGCUGGGCACAGACGGCUGCUCAGCUGCAGCCUCUGAAAC